GCAGCGGGACCGCAGGAGGGGAAGCGCAGCGCCCCGUGUGAGGGGGGGAGCCCCCCGGGAGCCCAGAGUCCCGUGUGCCGCGGUGGCGCAGCUGUCGUGGAGGGCAGGAAGGAAUGUCAACGUGGCAGGAAGGAAUGAUUUCUGUGGCAUUCGCUGAUGGGUCCCGUCACAGUGCGGGGGGCCACCGGGGCGCGUGGCCAGCUCUUCCUCUCUCCCAGAGCGGGAUCUGCAGCAGCGGAGCCCUGAUUUCCCGGCCGUGAUCCGAGUCCUCUCUCUACACGACAGUGCUGCCACCAGGCAGGCAGCCGCGUGAUCGAGCUGCAGGACUUUCAGUCAAAGUGCACUGUUGGAAAGAUGAAUCCAGAUCCUUGCCACAGAAGUUGGAAUACAGAAUCAAGGAUGUUAAAGUGAAAUAGCAAAAAAAUAAAAUAAAAUAAAUAUUCAACAUUGA